UAUUCAUAUUUGUCUAGCUCGAUGCAUUAAACGCCUUGAAAGUCUAGCACGAAAAAACAAGUUGUCAUGUUAUUGUCCAUUGGCUUGCAGAACAACAAUCUAUCAUCCUGUAUUAUCUUCAGCUGUAUGGCCUGCUGAAAAAUACUUGUCUUCCUUGCUAGAAGAACUUUUCAGAGUACGACAUAAAGUAGUUGAUUUGUUCGAGAACAUAUCAAAUGUAAAUCAGUAUUUUAGGAAAAACUUCUUGAGGAUCAAUAUAUUUUCCAAGAGUUACAAG